UAGGGAAUAUUGCGCAAUGGUCGAAAGACUGACGCAGCGACGCCGCGUGUGGGAGGAAGCCUUUCGGGGUGUAAACCACUGUCAGGUGGGAAGAAUCACGCUUGUCCAAACAGGGCGAGCGUCUGACGGUACCAUCAGAGGAAGCGCCGGCUAACUCCGUGCCAGCAGCCGCGGUAAGACGGAGGGCGCAAGCGUUGUUCGGAAUUACUGGGCGUAAAGCGCGGGCAGGUGGUUCGUUAAGUCUUUUGUGAAACUCCGGGGCUCAACUCCGGACAUGCAGGAGAUACUGGCGGACUAGAGACCGGUAGAGGCUAGCGGAAUUCCUGGUGUAGCGGUGGAAUGUGUAGAUAUCAGGAAGAACACCAGUGGCGAAGGCGGCUAGCUGGGCCGCGUCUGACACUCAUCCGCGAAAGCGUGGGGAGCAAACAGG
rnacentral:rRNA from 2 species